UUACAGGCACUGAUUAAGAGAGUAGUCUGGAAUGCUUCCACAAAGGGAUGCUGCGCCGCAGACUGAAAGCGCACAUGGAAAGCACCUGAUGAAGUUCACUUAUGAGCUCCGGAGAUGAAAAAAGUAGUCUUCGGCGGUUAGAACCGUUAUAUUCCUAAAGUGGGCUGAAUUAAGCCAACUUAGGGUGGUACCGCGGAAAUAUCCGUCCCUAUC
rnacentral:ncRNA from 1 species